rnacentral:rRNA from 1 species
UACGUAGGGUGCAAGCGUUGUCCGGAAUUAUUGGGCGUAAAGAGCUUGUAGGCGGUUUGUCGCGUCUGCUGUGAAAUUUCGGGGCUCAACCCCGAACUUGCAGUGGGUACGGGCAGACUAGAGUGUGGUAGGGGAGACUGGAAUUCCUGGUGUAGCGGUGAAAUGCGCAGAUAUCAGGAGGAACACCGGUGGUGUAGACGGCUCUCUGGACCGUAACUGACGCUGAGACGCGAAAGCGUGGGGAGCAAACAGG